rnacentral:rRNA from 1 species
UUGAACGCUGGCGGCAUGGCUAAAACAUGCAAGUCGAACGAGAACCCCGCAAGGGGUGAAAGUGGCGGAAGGGCGAGUAAUAGUAUCGAACGUACCCCGAGGUGGGGGAUAGGUCGGGGAAACCCGGCGUAAUACCCCAUGAUCUCUAAGGAGCAAAGCCUUGUGCGCCUUGGGAGCGGCGAUAUUCCUAUCAGGUAGUUGGCGGGGUAACGGCCCACCAAGCCUAUGACGGGUAGCCGGUGUGAGAGCACGGCCGGCCGCAUCGGGACUGAGACACUGCCCGGACUCCUACGGGAGGCUGCAGUAACGAAUAUUCCGCAAUGGGCGCAAGCCUGACGGAGCAAUGCCGCGUGCAGGAUGAAGCGGUUUUGCCGUGUAAACUGCUGUCAGGGGACAGAAACACUGAUCGUCCCCAGAGGAAGAGACGGCUAACCCUGU